CAGCGUCCCCCUCAUCACCAACAUGGACCUCAACAUCCGUCAACACUUGCCACACAUCAGGCCUGGUCCUCAGCCCUCUGCAUGCCUCGCAGCUCACAAUGGCACUAUGAAGCCAGAACUACUAUUACCUCCACUUCACAGGUUAGGAACUGAGGAGCUUGUUCAAGGACACACAGCCAGUAAGCAGACUCCCAAGCCCAGUCUCUUAACCACUAUGCCAGCCAUGCUAGCAACAUCCCUCUCUCUUAGGAGACUUCCUCCCAACUCCGGUCCUUCACUAAUGAACUACUUCCUAUUUUCACACUUGACCACCUCUGGUAUAAAGACAAGCAAAUGAGAAAAGUAAGGGUGAGUUGGCCAAGAUCGCCCAGCCAGCAAGCGGCAGAGGAAUAAACUGACCCCAGGACUUCCAAAUGCUACGGCCUGUGCUCUGGGGUGUCUGCAGCAGGAGUGGCAGCUGAGCAUCGGGACUGACAGUGGGGACCUGGGAGUCACCAACACUCACCUUUACUGGCUGUGUGACCCAGGGAAGAAGGCAGGAAGGGGACCUGUGUACAAGCAACAGCCAACUGUCACAGCCUGAGACGAUGGGAAAUGCAAGUCCACAGCAAAUCCACUCAGCACCUACAUUUACUCGAGGCCACCUGGUGGGGGAACUUAACCCCAGAUCUCUUGGGAGCUCAGUGACUCCAGCAUCCUGCCUCUGCCACGAGCUGGGAGGAAGAUCUCUGCGGUGUGUUGAAUGCUCUUUUCUUUCUGUUCCUGUGUGGCUGUGAGCCUCUGCAUGGCCAGGAGACGCCACCUGCCCCUGCCAGCCAGGCUGCCUCUGCACCUGUGCCAGGUUCACCCGGGGACAGGCAGAGCGGAGCGGGACUUGUCGAGAAGAGAUCUGCCCUCGUGUGACCCUCUACUUUCCCCGCUGAAGUCAGGGGCCCAGGGGAGCAGAAGACGUGAGAAACCAGUCAGAGGUCUCCGGGGCUCUGAAAGCAGUCUCUGCCCCAAGGUGGCACACGGCAGAAAAAGGGGGCAUGAUUCCAGAACACCCCUCUCUCUGCCAACUUCAGCCCAUCCACGUUUCACUCUUGGGGUCCUGCUCCCAGACAAGAGGCUGGAGUUCCACCCUGUGGAAUGGUGGGUAAUACGAAGACAAACCCUCAGGACAGGCCCAGGGGAAGGCCCCUCUGCCUUGGAGAUAAAAAUGUAUUCAAUCAAAUACUCACGGGUCAUAAAACUCAGAGGUUAAGACAGUGGUUUCUAAACCUGGC
rnacentral:lncRNA from 1 species